rnacentral:rRNA from 2 species
UGAGGAAUAUUGGUCAAUGGGCGAGAGCCUGAACCAGCCAAGUAGCGUGCAGGAUGACGGCCCUAUGGGUUGUAAACUGCUUUUAUGCGGGGAUAAAGUGCGUGACGUGUCGUGCAUUGCAGGUACCGCAUGAAUAAGGACCGGCUAAUUCCGUGCCAGCAGCCGCGGUAAUACGGAAGGUCCGGGCGUUAUCCGGAUUUAUUGGGUUUAAAGGGAGCGUAGGCCGCCAGAUAAGCGUGUUGUGAAAUGUACCGGCUCAACCGGUGAAUUGCAGCGCGAACUGUUUGGCUUGAGUGCACGGUAAGCAGGCGGAAUUCAUGGUGUAGCGGUGAAAUGCUUAGAUAUCAUGAAGAACUCCGAUUGCGAAGGCAGCUUGCUGCAGUGCGACUGACGCUGAUGCUCGAAGGUGCGGGUAUCAAACAGG